AUUGUCCCUAGAAACAUUACAAGGGUGGCUGCUGUAUCACAUGUCAGUAGGUGGCAAAGAAGAGAGAGGCUAUGUUUACACUCAGUGUUCUGACCUCUGAACAUCUGAAUGAUUAGUAGCCUAACAUU